UACUAACUAUGUAAAGAGGAGUUGUUGCCACAACCCCUCUGCAGCGCCAUUUAAGACGGCGACAGGUUUUUUAACUUAAAA
rnacentral:sRNA from 1 species